rnacentral:rRNA from 1 species
AACGAACGCUGGCGGCAUGCCUAACACAUGCAAGUCGAACGAGACCUUCGGGUCUAGUGGCGCACGUGUGCGUAACGCGUGGGAUCCUGCCCUUAGGUUCGGAAUAACUCCCCGAAAUGGGUGCUAAUAACGGGUAAUGUCUCCGGACCCAAGAUUUAUCGCCUUUGUAUGGGCCCGCGUUGGAUUUGCUAGUUGGUAGGGUAAAAGCCUAUCAAGGCGAGGAUCCAUAGCUGGUCUGAGAGGAUGAUCAGCGACACUGGGACUGAGACACGGCCCAGACUCCUGCGGGAGGCAGCAGAGAGGAAUAAAGGGGAGGGGGCGAGAGGCUGAUCCAGCAAGGCAGGGUGAGUGGUGAAGGCCUUAGGGUUGUAAAGCUCUUGUAAACGGGAUGAUAAUGACAGUACCGGGAGAAGAAGCGCCGGCUAACUACGUG